rnacentral:tRNA from 1 species
GCGCGGUUCGACCGGCGUAGCGUCCGUCUAUCGGCGAGACGGCGUAAAGGGAAUCCAUACCUGUGCCUGCCGUUCGGUUCGGCAAAAGCGUG